GACGAACGCUGGCGGCGUGCUUAACACAUGCAAGUCGAACGGUAAGGCCCUUCGGGGUACACGAGUGGCGAACGGGUGAGUAACACGUGGGUGAUCUGCCCUGCACUUCGGGAUAAGCCUGGGUAACUGGGUCUAAUACCGGAUAGGACCACUGCCUGCAUGGGUGGUGGUGGAAAGCUUUUGCGGUGUGGGAUGGGCCCGCGGCCUAUCAGCUUGUUGGUGGGGUGAUGGCCUACCAAGGCGACGACGGGUAGCCGGCCUGGGAGGGUAACCGGCCACACUGGGACUGAGAGACGGCCCAGACUCCUACGGGAGGCAGCAGUGGGGAAUAUUGCACAAUGGGCGCAAGCCUGAUGCAGCGACGCCGCGUGAGGGAUGACGGCCUUCGGGUUGUAAACCUCUUUCAGUAGGGACGAAGCGCAAGUGACGGUACCUACAGAAGAAGGACCGGCCAACUACGUGCCAGCAGCCGCCGUAA
rnacentral:rRNA from 1 species